GAAGUUCAAUUAGAUUAACAUUCGGAGAGUGUGAAGUUAUGUCUGAUCUAUAAAACAACAGAUAACAUAAAUUAUUUAACCUGUGAUAAAACUAUAAAGUACAAACUCUAUUCAAGACCCUAUUAUUUCAAGUAUCAAUAAGGUGAAUGAAAAGUAUAAAGCUGUACAAUUGUAAAUGGAUAUUUUAGUUUGCCCUCUAUGUCGCUCAGUACUAGAGCUCCAGCAAAUUAACUUGAGCCAAGCUGUAUAUUUAUGUUUGGAUUUGAAAUGUCCUUACCCAAUUGGUCAGAAGUGCAUUGCAGUUGAAAAACCUCUGGAAGAACUAGGAAAUUCUGUACAUUCUAGAUCUUCGAAGAAAAAAACAAAAAAAUUGGAAACUGCGAAAUCUUUAAAUGUACCUCCUGCUAAUGGUGCAAAGACAAAACUACCCACUGAUGACACUUUUAAAUUGAAUGAUUUUCUCUCUGAAGCUUUGGAGAAUUUCGAUUUACCACCAGAUAAUCCUAUGCCCGUUCAUGAAAAUUGUGUAAUAAACUCUCACAAUAAUGAGCUGAUGCUGAAUAAUAAUGGUUAUACUACUAACGAUGAGCAGAUUUAUGAUAACCAACAAAAGCUAAACUAUAAUAGUGAAUAUAUCCAGCCUUAUGUGAAUCAUAAUCAACAAAUGGUGGAUUAUAAUGGCUUUAACAAUGGACAAAGUCAGUUCACUAUAAAUGAUAGCCAGUGUAUGAUGAAUCUUGAAGAAAUAUUUGACGGAUUAAUGUAAAUUGUGAAGAUGCAGAAAAAUUAAAUUAUUUUCCAAC